rnacentral:rRNA from 1 species
GAUGAACGCUGGCGGCGUGCCUAAUACAUGCAAGUCGAGCGAACAGACGAGGAGCUUGCUCCUCUGACGUUAGCGGCGGACGGGUGAGUAACACGUGGAUAACCUACCUAUAAGACUGGGAUAAAUUCGGGAAACCGGAGCUAAUACCGGAUAAUAUAUUGAACCGCAUGGUUCAAUAGUGAAAGACGGUUUUGCUGUCACUUAUAGAUGGAUCCGCGCCGCAUUAGCUAGUUGGUAAGGUAACGGCUUACCAAGGCAACGAUGCGUAGCCGACCUGAGAGGGUGGUCGGCCCCACUGGAACUGUGACACGGUCCAGACUCCUACGGGAGGCAGCAGUAGGGAAUAUUCCGCAAUGGGCGAAAGCCUGACGGGGCAACGCCGCGUGAGUGAUGAAGGUCUUCGGAUCGUAAAACUCUGUUAUUAGGGAAGAACAAAUGUGUAAGUAACUAUGCACGUCUUGACGGUACCUAAUCAGAAAGCCACGGCUAACUACGUG